CAUAGUGACGACCGCCAUGUUGAGUGCUUUGACGUGAAGUUGUUCUGUCAAAUAUUCUUUUAUUUUGUGACGAUUCUUUUGUGUAUUGCCGUUAGUCAGCGUGCUUUGCCUGCAUUUUAAAGUAAACAAUGAGCGCCGAUACAGUCAACAGUAAUCCCAAUGGUGUGGCAUCAGAGGUUCCAGGUUCAGUUGAUGCUGGAGUGGUCCCAAAGGCGAGUGCUAAUGGACUUGAGUUUCUGCAAAGUAUAGAUGGGGAAACAGAUUUCCAGUACCUGCUUUUUGACGAUAACCUGGUGACCGUGUCGGACACAGGGAAGGAGCUGGGAGAGUUCACGGUGACAGUAGAGCCCACCAAGUACAAGUCCCAGGAGCUGUUCCUCAUACAUGCCAACAGCCAUGGAGCCAUAGAUGGAGUGCCAUGUGGCACAUCCAUCACUUGCUAUGUCACCAAGCAACUCGAAACCAUCGAACAGCAGCAUCAUGAAUAUGUCAAGCUGGAGAAUUGCCCAUUAGACAGGAAGACGUUCAUUGUUCGCCAGGAAGAAGGAUAUGUUGUGAAUCGAGUCAUCACACAGCGGGAGGAUGUUCAGAGAACAGCCAAAACAAUCGCACUGGACACGAUGCAAGGCUUUAUUUCUGAAGGGUCCAAUCUGCUGCUCCACAGACUGUUGAUAGAAAAGAAUUUUCCUGAUGACAUGCAACUGCUUUCCUUUGACUCUGACGCCAAUCUCAGUGUGGCUGUGUAUAAACACCUGGAAGAGAGAUCUCAGAAUGUGGAAGGUCUUGAUAUGAGGGUGUUUGGUAUAGAGAGAACCAUCAUCUCCACAACAGACCUACCUACUACAUGGCAGUCCUACUUCUCAGGCGAUUGUCACCUGACGAACAGAGUGCAAGUAGGGUCACCAGUCACGAUGAAGUUAGCUCAGAUACCUACUGCCAUAGAGAGAGAUGAAGAGCCACCAAAACCAACAUUCGAGAAACAGCCACUCAACUGGGAAGAAGACAUGCAGCUGUAUUCCAGAUUUUUGGACAGAAAGGAAGAGCUGAAGGGAGACCAUGCUGUUUACAUGAGGCAUCACCCAGAGCUGAAAGCGCUACUUGCUGAUUUCCUGCAGUUUUUGUUGCUACGGAAACCUGAUGACGUGCUAUCAUUUGCAGCCGAGUACUUCGCUGCCUUUUCCAACACUAUGCCGUCAUCAUCUCCAUACAUGGCCUCAAGUACAUCCACACCCUUUCCUGCUAGUCGAACAAAUACAGGCAUCGAGAAAUUGCGGACACCCACCCGAUAAUGAUUUACUUUUAGAAGUCAAAUAAUGUAACAGCAGCAUUGGAUCAUCAAAGCAGUUGUAGCACUCAGUCGGCAGUCAGUAUUUUGGUCUGGAGUUCCUCUUAGCGCUAAGAUGGCUUUGUGGACAGGACCAAGAGCAUCAUGAUGACUGCUCAUACUUCAUCUUCCGUCAGGAUUACUGUGUUACUCUGGGCUUGUCGUCAGUGCCACAGUUUAACUCCUCCCUUGAUGUCCUGUGUUGAGUGUUUUAACUUUAUCUCAAGUAAUUACUCAUUGCCAUACUGAUGUUGUAUUGGUUUCCAUGGCAACAUCUUUCAGUAUUUACACUUGGACUUCCAUAAAAGUGGAUGUUGACCAGACUCAGGUGCAAGCCCAACCUCUUUGUAAAACUACUUGGAAACCACCAACUGCUUUACACAAUCUGUGUGUCUAUUGGUCUAAUGUUCCUGGUCUGUCACCUGAAACGUGUGUCAGGAAGCUGCUAAUGUCUAGCCAUUUGCUGAAGUGACAAGAUAAGGAGAGACGACAUCCUCUAAGAAAUGUACAAAUUGUGUCUUAUGAAGUUUAAGGGAUGUUACAACUGAGUUGUCAUGAUUGGACGGUGUAAUAUCUAGGCGUUAUAAUGAUUCAUUAAUGUAUCAGUACAAAUAUGUAAACAGAGAGACAUGUAAAAUUAUGUCAAAAUAGUAAAUUCUGCCUACUGGUAGGAUGUUAAUGAGAUCUCAAGCAACAUGUCCUAACUCUGUCUCAAGUAUACUAUAUGGAUUUGUUUGUCUUCAACACACUCUCUCUGGUGAAGGACUUUGUCUAAAGGGAAGGCAAGUACAGAGAGGUCCUGAAUCUUAGUGUGCUGUGUCAGUCAACAAUAUCACAUCACAACAAAGUGUUUCAGUCCUCAUAGUGUUCCGGGUUGAUGACACUACUUACCAAGAAUGACAGUUAAUCAAAGCUUUGUUUUGUUCAUCUCUUCAGGCAGUCAUGGAUUCACAAACAGCUGACACAUUGUAUCCACCUGAUCAAGAUUACCUGACAAGACUCGGGGUAAUGGCCUAUCACACUGCCAGUCGCACUCUGUUCAUUACCUAUGGCAUGGGUUGCUGUAGACCUGUACUGCUGGAGAUACCCCAGUUUUGUGGAGGGUUUAUAGGACUACUUCUGAAGAUGCCCUCUCCAGCCAUGAUACUGCUGUAGUAAUGCUGAUACCUCUUUUGGUCACACUUGGGGGUUUGGGGGUUGCACCACAGCUUCCUCUCCUUGUCACGACUGGAAGGAUGUGAUGGACAUCGGGUUGUCAUGACUGGAAGGAUGUGAUUGACAUCGGGUUGUCACAACUGGAAGGAUGUGAUUGUCAUCUGGUUGUCACGACUGGAAGGAUGUGAUAGACAUCGGGUUGUCACGACUGGAAGGAUGUGAUCCUUAUCUGGUUGUCAUGACUGGAAGGAUGUGAUUGACAUCGGGUUGUCACAACUGGAAGGAUGUGAUUGUCAUCUGGUUGUCAUGACUGGAUGGAUGUGAUUGACAUCGCGUUGUCACGACUGGAUGGAUGUGAUUGACAUCUGGUUGUCAUGACUGGAUGGAUGUGAUUGUCAUCUAGGACUUCUGUUUAUACUUCCACCAUGACCACACUACUGGCAUUGUGUUUAGUGUAUGACACAGCAUGAUGGGCAGUAUUCUUAGAAUUCUGUUUUGUCGAAAUACUGUAUAUAUUUUUCUGGAGAUACUGCCUUUAAUAUAUAUGCGUUAAACUGUCAGCAAUGUGUUGUCUUGGUGAAUGAUCACUUGAGAGUGGCACUUACCUUGAGGUUUCCCUAUGAUGUGAAGGCUGACAGAGAGGAUAUGACCUUCGGUUUACCCAAUGGGAUCAGGUUAAAAUGCACUGAGACAAAACAGUAUACAAGUCCUGGUUAAAAAGGCUCCAGUAUUCCAUGGGGUAAAUGGCAAAAGAUACUUUGGUUUGCAUGUAUGUUUUCCCCAUUCCAGCAUGACCCACCCCAAUAUAUAGAUCUGUGAAACCUCUCAGCUGUGGACAACUGAAGCACUGUACCACAAUGUAAACUGACACCACUUACUUCCCUUUAUGUUUUUUUAAUCAGUCAGUGUUGGGAAGAUGUUUUGUACACUUCAACUGGCACUGUACCACAAUGUAAACUGACACCACUUACUUCCCUUUAUGUUUUUUUAAUCAGUCAGUGUUGGGAAGAAUUUUUGUACACUUCAAUUGGCACUGUACCACAAUGUAAACUGACACCACUUACUUCCCUUUAUGUUUUUUUAAUCAGUCAGUGUUGGGAAGAUGUUUUGUACACUUCAACUGACCGUCUGAUGACCUGUACACCUGUCAACCAAGCGUUACCUGUACACCUGUCAACCAAGCGUUACCUGUCAUUUAAUCAAGCCUUUGUACAUAGUCCAUUUCAUUUUGCUGUGAAAUUCAUCCAUAUCUUGUACAGAUUUCUCCUCAAUUGUGAGUGCUUUGUUGAAUACUGCUUUAAGUUAUUUAACUGCAGAAUUUUGUUGAUUUUGUUAGAAAUGUGUUUUGUAGAUUUUAAUCAAGUUCAUUUGGAAGCUCAUUAGUCAGAAAAUUCAUAACCUGGGAUAAAUUUGAUCAACAGAAUAUGUUUCCAGUUGUCCACUACUCCAACAUUCGCUGUCAGUAUGUUAGUUCCCGUCUACAGUUCACUGCAGGACGUUGUGCUCACAGUCUGGAGACUAGCUGUAGGUCUGACAGGACAGUGUGUAUCAGCAGGUUAGGUAGUGGUGCCCAGCUCGUUACUACUGACAAACACCUGUUGUCUCAAGCCUGUUGACCCGGUUGUCAGUCAACAGACCUCAAUGUGCAUUUUCCAACCACUACUUUGUGCAUGCUUUGGCAGUCAGUGGAGGUUGUAUAAAAGACCCAGUGUCACUGAUGACACCUGACAUGUCAUGCAUGUUGAUGAUGCAGUAGGUAAUGAUUACUACUAACAUGACCAACAUAUAGACACAAAGUCACUCCUGACACAAGUUUGUGCAUCCUGACUGGACACCAAGGUGGGGGUUAUCUCCCCUGAACCUGUUAGGGAAAGUAUUAUUGACAGGAAUAAAGCAUAUUUUGAAAUGAACAAUAAACUGCUUUCAAAGGGGUACAACUUCUAUGACUUUUCAGCAGGAUCAGUCGAGAAUAACGUGUUCUUCAAAAAUUGCCCACUGAACUGCACAGGUCACUGAACCAUGUUCUUCAAAAACUGCCCACUGAACUGCACAGGUCACUGAACCAGGUUCUUCAAGAACCGCCUACUGAAUUGCACAGGUCACUGAACCAUGUUCUUCAAAAACUGCCCACUGAACUGCACAGGUCACUGAACCAGGUUCUUCAAGAACCGCCUACUGAAUUGCACAGGUCACUGAACCAUGUUCUUCAAAAACUGCCCACUGAACUGCACAGGUCACUGAACCAGGUUCUUCAAGAACCGCCUAUGGAACUGCACAGGUCACUGGACCAUGUUAUUCAAGAACCGCCUACUGCAUCCACAGUGAUGAUGUCAAACCCCUGAACAUACUCCCACUUACAGGAUCUGCAUCUGGGUAGUUUAGCUGCUGAUUUCCUUGUAUGUCUUCACUAGGAAAGAUAACUACCGGUAUACAAGAUAAUGAAGACAAGUCUUAAGUUGUUUUUUAUUGGAGUCAAAAUGAGUAAGAUCAAUCCUCAAACAGUAUCUGAAUCAGUAUUCUAAAAAAUAUAUUUGGUAAUUUGUUUAAAGACAGACACAAACAUGAGAAUAAAAUAUACUCUUACACACGAUGUAAAACUACAAAAUAAGUACAUUGUUUUUAAAAGACAAAAUAUUUUCGGAUCUCUGAUCCUUUCAUUUUCACAACAUAUUUUGUGAGCUGAAAUAAAUAUGUUUUCUCUGUGUUA
rnacentral:misc_RNA from 1 species